rnacentral:rRNA from 1 species
UAUUGGACAAUGGGCGAAAGCCUGAUCCAGCAAUGCCGCGUGAGUGAUGAAGGCCUCCCCGCUCGUAAAGCUCUUUUACCAGGGAUGAUAAUGACAGUACCUGGAGAAUAAGCUCCGGCUAACUCCGUGCCAGCAGCCGCGGUAAUACGGAGGGAGCUAGCGUUGUUCGGAAUUACUGGGCGUAAAGAGUACGUAGGCGGUUAUUCAAGUCAGAGGUGAAAGCCCGGGGCUCAACCCCGGAACUGCCUUUGAAACUAGAUAACUAGAGUCUUGGAGAGGUCAGUGGAAUUCCGAGUGUAGAGGUGAAAUUCGUAGAUAUUCGGAAGAACACCAGUGGCGAAGGCGACUACUGACAAGUACUGACGCGAGGUACGAA